rnacentral:rRNA from 1 species
CCUACGGGCGGCUGCAGUGGGGAAUAUUGGACAAUGGGCGAAAGCCUGAUCCAGCCAUGCCGCGUGUGUGAAGAAGGCCUUCGGGUUGUAAAGCACUUUCAGUGGGGAAGAAAGCCUUGGGGCUAAUACCCUCGAGGAAGGACAUCACCCACAGAAGAAGCACCGGCUAACUCCGUGCCAGCAGCCGCGGUAAUACGGAGGGUGCGAGCGUUAAUCGGAAUUACUGGGCGUAAAGCGCGCGUAGGCGGUCUGAUAAGCCGGUUGUGAAAGCCCCGGGCUCAACCUGGGAACGGCAUCCGGAACUGUCAGGCUAGAGUGCAGGAGAGGAAGGUAGAAUUCCCGGUGUAGCGGUGAAAUGCGUAGAGAUCGGGAGGAAUACCAGUGGCGAAGGCGGCCUUCUGGACUGACACUGACGCUGAGGUGCGAAAGCGUGGGUAGCAAACAGGAUUAGAUACCCGAGUAUC